AACUGUGUGCGCGCACCUUCCCAGCAGCGGCCGACCGAGAGGCGCCGAGGGCCGCCCAGGCCUAGCGCUCGGGCUGCACGGAAACUCCCAACCCUCCGGCGGGCUCGGGCCUCGCAACUUCACAACCAGCCGGCGGAAAGCAAGAAGAUGCGAGUUCUGGCAACUGACAAAGGGACCUAAAGGACACUGCUGAUGACUUCUGAGACUCCCGGAGGAAUAUCAGAGAGGUGCCACAGAGCCACAGAUGCCUUUUGAGGUCCUCGGUCUUCCUCAUGGAGCCUCAAGGGUUAUAGAGUCUCCCUCUGUUGCCCAGGCUAAAGAACUCAG